UACGUAGGGGCCGAGCGUUGUCCGGAGUUAUUGGGCGUAAAGCGCGCGCAGGCGGCCUCGCGCGCCCGACGUGAAAGCCCCCGGCUUAACCGGGGAGGGUCGUUGGGGACGGCGGGGCUUGAGGGCGGGAGAGGGUGGUGGAAUUCCCGGUGUAGGGGUGAAAUCUGUAGAUAUCGAGAGGAACACCGGUGGCGAAGGCGCUCAUCUGGCCCAAUACUGACGCUGAGGCGCGAAAGCGUGGGGAGCGAACAGG
rnacentral:rRNA from 1 species